rnacentral:rRNA from 1 species
AUUGAACGCUGGCGGCAGGCCUAACAAAUGCAAGUCGAACGAGUGGCAGACGGGUGAGUAAUGUCUGGGAAACUGCCCGAUGGAGGGGGAUAACUACUGGAAACGGUAGCUAAUACCGCAUACCAUCGGAUGUGCCAAGAUGGGAUUAGCUAGUAGGUGGGGUAACGGCUCACCUAGGCGACGAACCCUAGCUGGUCUGAGAGGAUGACCAGGCACACUGGAAAUGAGACACGGUCCAGACUCCUACGGGAGGCAACAGUUGGGAAUAUUGCGCAAUGUGCGCAAUCCUGAUGCAGCCAUGCCGCGUGUAUGAAGAAGGCCUUCGGGUUGUAAAUUACUUUCAGCGAGGAGGCGUUACUCGCAGAAGAAGCACCGGCUAACUCCGUGCCAGCAGCCGCAGUAAUUC